rnacentral:rRNA from 1 species
AAUACAGAGGGGGCAAGCGUUGUUCGGAAUUACUGGGCGUAAAGGGCGCGUAGGUGGCCUUCUAAGUUGAACGUGAAAUCCCUGGGCUCAACCCAGGAACUGCGUCCAAGACUGGGAGGCUUGAAUCCGGGAGAGGGAUGCGGAAUUCCAGGUGUAGCGGUGAAAUGCGUAGAUAUCUGGAGGACACCGGUGGCGAAGGCGGCAUCCUGGACCGGUAUUGACACUGAGGCGCGAAAGCCAGGGGAGCAAACGGGA